rnacentral:rRNA from 1 species
UGAACGCUGGCGGCAGGCCUAACACAUGCAAGUCGAGCGGUAGAGAGAAGCUUGCUUCUCUUGAGAGCGGCGGACGGGUGAGUAAUGCCUAGGAAUCUGCCUGGUAGUGGGGGAUAACGUUCGGAAACGGACGCUAAUACCGCAUACGUCCUACGGGAGAAAGCAGGGGACCUUCGGGCCUUGCGCUAUCAGAUGAGCCUAGGUCGGAUUAGCUAGUUGGUGGGGUAAUGGCUCACCAAGGCGACGAUCCGUAACUGGUCUGAGAGGAUGAUCAGUCACACUGGAACUGAGACACGGUCCAGACUCCUACGGGAGGCAGCAGUGGGGAAUAUUGGACAAUGGGCGAAAGCCUGAUCCAGCCAUGCCGCGUGUGUGAAGAAGGUCUUCGGAUUGUAAAGCACUUUAAGUUGGGAGGAAGGGCAGUAAAUUAAUACUUUGCUGUUUUGACGUUACCGACAGAAUAAGCACCGGCUAACUCUGUG